AGCAGCCGCGGUAAUUCCAGCUCCAAUAGCGUAUAUUAAAGUUGUUGCAGUUAAAAGCUCGUAGUUGAAUUUCGGGAUCAAUAUGUUGGUCGUGCCUUGGUACGUACUGGCAUUAUUGGUUUCUACCUUCUGAAGAACCUCGAUGUCAUUAAUUUGGUGUCUUGGGGAAUCAGGACUGUUACUUUGAAAAAUUAGAGUGUUUAAAGCAGGCUCGCGCUUGAAUACAUUAGCAUGGAAUAAUGAAAUAGGACGUUUGAUUCUAUUUUGUUGGUUUCUAGGAUCGACGUAAUGAUUAAUAGGGAUAGUUGGGGGCAUUAGUAUUCAAUUGUCAGAGGUGAAAUUCUUGGAUUUAUUGAAGACUAACUACUGCGAAAGCAUUUGCCAAGGAUGUUUUCAUUAAUCAAGAACGAAAGUUAGGGAUCGAAGACGAUCAGAUACCGUCGUAGUCUUAACCACAAACUAUGCCGA
rnacentral:misc_RNA from 1 species